AUCUCUUCUCGGCCUUUUGGCUCAGAUCAAGUGUAGUAUCUUGAGAAAAGAAAUGAUGGUGAGCCCAGACUUGUGGGCUUGACCUAUC
rnacentral:snRNA from 1 species